GAUAAACGCUGGCGGCGUGCAUAACACAUGCAAGUCGAACGAUGAAGCUUAACUGAUUUCUUCGGAAUGAUUUUAAGUGGAUUAGUGGCGGACGGGUGAGUAACGCGUGAGUAACCUGCCUUGCACAAGGGGAUAGCCGUUGGAAACGACGAAUAAUACCCUAUGAUAUAAACUCUUCGCAUGAAGGGCUUAUCAAAGAUUUAUCGGUGUAAGAUGGACUCGCGUCUGAUUAGCUAGUUGGUGGGGUAACAGCCUACCAAGGCAACGAUCAGUAGCCGGCUUGAGAGAGUGUACGGCCACAUUGGGACUGAGACACGGCCCAGACUCCUACGGGAGGCAGCAGUGGGGAAUUUUGCACAAUGGGGGAAACCCUGAUGCAGCGACGCCGCGUGAUUUAGGAGGCCUUCGGGUUGUAAAAAUCUUUUGUAUGGGAAGAAAAUGACAGUACCAUACGAAUAAGGACCGGCUAAUUACGUG
rnacentral:rRNA from 1 species